CCUACGGGUGGCUGCAGUGAGGAAUAUUGGUCAAUGGCCGUAAGGCUGAACCAGCCAAGCCGCGUGAAGGAGGAAGGAGCUGUGGUUUGUAAACCUCUUUUAUAGGGGAAUAAAGGUAUCCACGCGUGGAUAUUUGCGUGUACCCGAUGAAAAAGCACCGGCUAACUCCGUGCCAGCAGCCGCGGUAAUACGGAGGAUGCGAGCGUUAUUCGGAAUUACUGGGUGUAAAGGGCUCGUAGGCGGUAUGUCAAGUCAGGGGUGAAAUCCCCGCGCUCAACGCGGGAACUGCCUUUGAAACUGGCAGACUGGAGUGUGUGAGAGGAUAGCGGAAUUCCAGGUGUAGGAGUGAAAUGCGUAGAUAUCGGGAGGAACAUCAGUGGCGAAGGCGACUAUCUGGCACAUAACUGACGCUGAGGAGCGAAAGCGUGGGUAGCAAACAGGAUUAGAUACCCGAGUAGUC
rnacentral:rRNA from 1 species